rnacentral:rRNA from 1 species
AUUGAACGCUGGCGGCAUGCCUUACACAUGCAAGUCGAACGGUAACGGGCCUUCGGGUGCCGACGAGUGGCGAACGGGUGAGUAAUGCAUCGGAACGUACCUUUCAGUGGGGGAUAACGUAGCGAAAGUUACGCUAAUACCGCAUAUUCUGUGAGCAGGAAAGCAGGGGAUCGCAAGACCUUGCGCUGAUUGAGCGGCCGAUGUCAGAUUAGCUAGUUGGUGGGGUAAAGGCUCACCAAGGCGACGAUCUGUAGCGGGUCUGAGAGGAUGAUCCGCCACACUGGAACUGAGACACGGUCCAGACUCCUACGGGAGGCAGCAGUGGGGAAUUUUGGACAAUGGGGGCAACCCUGAUCCAGCCAUGCCGCGUGGGUGAAGAAGGCCUUCGGGUUGUAAAGCUCUUUCGGCCGGGAAGAAAGCGUAUGGGCUAAUACCCUGUGCGGAUGACGGUACCGGCAUACGAAGCACCGGCUAACUACGUGCCAGCCGCCGCGGUAACAC